CCGUAGCAAGCCUACUAUAUAUCCUGUGUACCUGAUAAAAUCCCAUACAUGAUCAUACAUUAUAACAAAAACUUAAACAUUUCCAUGAAACCGAGCUCAACCUGUGCAUGUAUCAUACUGAAAACAUAAAACCCAUACUAGAGCCCUCAUCAAAUGCUCUAGUAUGGUUAACAUCACAUGCCUCAAGCUUGAUUCAAACAUAAAACAUAUUUAAAACUUUUACAUAAAUAUCAUGUUAACAGGGAUUAUAAGGUAAAGAAAACUAGGGCCAAGCACAAUACUAAUCCAUUAAACAUUACAUGUCCACAACUAUUCUAUUACAUCAGCUACAUCAGCCACUAAGCUGACUCCCCGUGCUAUCUCUGAUCCUGCAAACCUGGGGUUAGGGGAAAGGAAUAAGCUACUAGAGCCUAGUGAGCAGAAUCACAAAAACAGUUUAAUAAACAUAUGCUCAUAUGAAAUGCAUCAUAGCACAAACAAAUCACAACAAGAUGGACUUGUCACCAGUAACCCUCUACAUAUUCCAAACAGUGCCCGGCCCUCGACGGAGCUUCUCAGGACUUCCUCUUAAACAUAACAUAACAUAUCCAUAAAUGCCAGGGGCAUAGAAUGGGCAGCCCUUGUAUUUCUCUUACAUAGUGUCAGGGCGCGUAGAAUGGGCAGCCCUGGUCUUCUGUAUCCGUCAUAACAUAAUCUGCUCGAGGGCUAGUGGGUCAUCCAAUAUCCAUCCACAACAACAGUAAAUUAUGCAAUGCAUCAUAUUCGUGAAUUCUAAUGCAACAACCUAUUACGUAACAUGGCAUUCGUGAUGCAUGAACGUGCUCAAAAAGUUUAAUUACUUUAAAACAAGAGAUUAGUUCAGUUCUACUCACCUCUGGCUGACGCUUAACUAAAACUAUAGCAGCUGACUCACUGCUGGCCUCUACGGUCUCCCAGGUCCGAUCCUACACAGAUGGAUUCCCAUGAGGGACCAAACAUAGCUAAUACAUGACUCUAAACAACUCCC
rnacentral:lncRNA from 1 species